rnacentral:ncRNA from 1 species
AACAGUUUUGGUCCUAAACUUACUAUUGUUUCUUAUCAAUACUAUACAUGCAAGUUUCCGCACUCCAGUGCCGACGCCCAAUUUCACGGAGCAGGUAUCAGGCACACACCAAUGUAACCGAAAACACCUAGCUAUGCCACACCCCCACGGGACCCAGCAGUAACAGACAUUAAGCAAUGAGCGACCCGCACACUCCCAUGAAGCUCGACUUAGUUAUGAUUCAAAAGGUUGGUAAAUUUCGUGCCAGCCACCGCGGUUAUACGAAAGACCUAAAACAAUAGCAUGCGGCGUAAAACGUGACUAGAGCCCGAGAUCCUAAACGAGACCUAAACUCCGGCUAAGUUAUAAAACACCCCAAGCACACUGGAAAACAAACCGAGUCUCAAUCAACAUUCACCCUUGACCUCACGAAAGCCAAGAAACAAACUAGGAUUAGAUACCCUACUAUGCUUAGCCGUAAACCUAGACAUUAGAACACCACACAAUGUCCGCCAGAGUACUACAAGUGAAAAACUAGAAACUCAAAGGACUUGACGGUGCCCCAUACCAACCUAGAGGAGCCUGUCCUGUAAUCGAUACCCCACGAAAAACCUCACCCCUUCUAGCAAAACCAGCCUAUAUACCGCCGUCGCCAGCCUACCUUGUAAAAGCCACCAAGUAGGCAAAACGUAUCCCCACAAAACGUCAGGUCAAGGUGUAGCAUAUGACCGGGAAAGAGAUGGGCUACAUUUUCUAAAAAGAAAAUACUAAUAGCACCCUGAAACAAGUACAAAACGGUGGAUUUAGCAGUAAGCCGAGUCAGACAGCUCAACUGAAACCACGCUCUGGGGCGCGUACACACCGCCCGUCACCCUCAUCAGUUAAACAAUCAAAUAAUUCAUAAAAAAAUUUUUUCCCGCCAGAUGAGGCAAGUCGUAACAUGGUAAGCGUACUGGAAAGUGCGCUUGGACUA